CAGCCGCCGCGGGAAUACAGAGGGUGCGAGCGUUAAUCGGAUUUACUGGGCGUAAAGCGUGCGUAGGCGGCUUCUUAAGUCGGAUGUGAAAUCCCUGAGCUUAACUUAGGAAUUGCAUUCGAUACUGGGAAGCUAGAGUAUGGGAGAGGAUGGUAGAAUUCCAGGUGUAGCGGUGAAAUGCGUAGAGAUCUGGAGGAAUACCGAUGGCGAAGGCAGCCAUCUGGCCUAAUACUGACGCUGAGGUACGAAAGCAUGGGGAGCAAACAGGAUUAGAUACCCCAGUAGUCCCUGUCUCUUAUAC
rnacentral:rRNA from 1 species